GUAGGAGGCGAGCGUUAUCCGGAUUCACUGGGCGUAAAGCGCGUGCAGGCGGUUUGGUAAGUUGGGCGUGAAAGCUCCCGGCUCAACUGGGAGAGGUCGUUCAAUACUACCAGACUAGAGAGUAGAAGAGGAAGAUGGAAUUCCCGGUGUAGUGGUGAAAUGCGUAGAUAUCGGGAGGAACACCAGUGGCGAAGGCGAUCUUCUGGUCUAUUUCUGACGCUCAGACGCGACAGCUAGGGUAGUAAACGGGAUUAGAGACCCCGGUAAUCCUAGCCGUAAACGAUGUGAACUUGGCGUCGGUGGCUUAAACACCAUCGGUGCCGAAGCAAACGCGAUAAGUUCACCGCCUGGGGACUACGGCCGCAAGGUUA
rnacentral:rRNA from 1 species